rnacentral:lncRNA from 1 species
AAUGAGAAAAUAUUCUAUGUCCUAUAUAUAUUUCCCCCUCAAUAACUGAUGAUUAAUUUAUUGGUAUGGUCCACUGGCAUGAUAUAGAGCCUCCCGGAAAGAGAUGUACAAAUUGAGAGUAAAUUUUGCGCGUCAUGCUGGAUAUAUGAUUGAUCGAGUAUAUUGUCGAAAACAGGCUGAUACAUACAUAUAUAUAUAUAUAUAUAUAUAUAUAUAUAUAUAUAUAUAUAUAUAUAUAUACCGUCAAUGAUGGUUGACCAAAGUUUGUUUCCAGGCAUGCUGAUAUAGUGCGUGGCGUGGCUUGACCUUUUUCUCUCACCAACUUGCAG